UGGGUACCGGAGGGAGGGAGGCGGGCAGAGGAGGGGAGAUGGGCACCCCCAGUUUUUCCAUCCUCCUCAUUCGUCUAGGGGCACCCGAAUCCCCUAUUCCUUAUUUCCCCUAUCACUCAGGCACUGGCAGGGUCCUUUUCCCACUCCUGUUGGCCGCCGCGGCUCCAAAGCGAGCUGGGCAGAUGUGCCUGAGACAGGUUUGACCAGGCAACUGAAAAUAUAUCCCUAAGAGAAGACAAAACAAAGAUAUGAAAGGAACACACUUCCCUGACUGACUAGGAGGAACAGAGCUGCCUGCUGACUGGAACCGCUUCCUCCCAGACUAACCUUACAGAGGGAGCUGAUCAGUUUCCCCUCCUGCCCAAAGGCAAAGCAGCCACAGUGGAAGUGCCAGAGUCCUCCCUCACAGCCUUCUGUCUAGUGGUUAUUCCCGCUUCAAGGCUAAGGAAGGGAAGGACCCGUUUUGCUUUCAAAGGCUUUUUCCUUCCAGCCCUUGCUGUGCACCCGUUGUGUGUGGGAG
rnacentral:lncRNA from 1 species